UGUCUGUCACACAGACCUAGAGACCAUUUGGGAACCACUGGUCGUGAGAGGAAAGAUGUGUAUGCCCUGACUGCGAGUGAUUGCUGGAGCCACAUUCACGCAGGCCUAGACACUGAUCAGUGACCCUCUGACAACCACUGGAUGCUGGCUUGGCUACAAACAUUAGCAAACUAUCUACCAACUACCCACUUUUCCCAGUUUCAACAGCUCGGAGAGGUCAUUGAGCUCAGCCAGGCCCUGAGCAGAGCCAAUAAUGGCCACUGGAUAUAUCUGUAAUGAAGAUGUGUUGAACAGAGCAAAGCAUCCAGCGCUAGGGCUGAUGGUUACUGUGGCAACCAUAUAACUCAAGAAGAAAGUGGCAAGAGGAGACGGCCAUUUUGGGUAUGAUUAAAUAGCUCCAGUAGCCGCUGGUCUUGCAUAAUCUUCAGGCAGUAACCUGGACUCCGAAAACCCACAACAGCAGGCAUAACGACCUGAUUCAUGGCCGACACAUCCUCUCUAUCCCUCCAGUUUCUCAGUCCCUCCUUCCAUCCCCCAACAUCUGCAGCAGUGGGCUGCUCCUUUUGUUUUGCUUAGUGACGUCCUGUGGGCUAUUUAUAGAGUCAUGUGUUAUUGUGUAAGAUCUAUUGAAAGGCCCAAAGAGCAUGUGCAGGCAUGUUCCCUAUGGUGGCCCCAACUUCUGCAAGAGGAAAGAUAGAAAAGCGUGUAGCUCUAAUAUCAAUGAGUUGGAGAAGGAAUCAGUUUAUAGAAUAAGCUCUAUGAUUAUCUUACAUUUGACCUCAGUACUAUUUUACUUUCCACCAUGCUUUAAUUAUAACGUUCAGACUUCAGUUUGAGAUCUUGGUGAUCAGUUUUAGAGCUCUGCAUGGUCAAAUGUCAGCUUACAAUAGUGAACUCGUGCACCCAUAUGUAACAUGCAGGUCUUGUUGGUGGUUCCUCAUACUACAGCGAAAACUAAAAUAAACAAUGGAAUCCAUUACCAUUACGUUUGAGAUCAAUGGACUCUAUUGAAACUUUUAAAGAGCAGUUUAGUACUAAUUUGUAUAGGCGUACUAAUUGUUCUUGUGAAGCAUAUCCUUUUCUAGAAAGAUGCAAAAUAAAUCAA